rnacentral:rRNA from 1 species
GAUGAACGCUGGCGGCGUGCCUAAUACAUGCAAGUCGAGCGAACAGACGAGGAGCUUGCUCCUCUGACGUUAGCGGCGGACGGGUGAGUAACACGUGGAUAACCUACCUAUAAGACUGGGAUAACUUCGGGAAACCGGAGCUAAUACCGGAUAAUAUAUUGAACCGCAUGGUUCAAUAGUGAAAGACGGUUUUGCUGUCACUUAUAGAUGGAUCCGCGCCGCAUUAGCUAGUUGGUAAGGUAACGGCUUACCAAGGCAACGAUGCGUAGCCGACCUGAGAGGGUGAUCGGCCACACUGGAACUGAGACACGGUCCAGACUCCUACGGGAGGCAGCAGUAGGGAAUCUUCCUCAAUGGGCGAAAGCCUGACGGAGCAACGCCGCGUGAGUGAUGAAGGUCUUCGGAUCGUAAAACUCUGUUAUUAGGGAAGAACAAAUGUGUAAGUAACUAUGCACGUCUUGACGGUACCUAAUCAGAAAGCCACGGCUAACUACGUG